rnacentral:rRNA from 1 species
UACGUAGGUGGCAAGCGUUGUCCGGAUUUACUGGGCGUAAAGAGCGCGCAGGCGGUCGAUUAAGUCGAAUGUGAAAGCCCCCGGCUUAACUGGGGAGGGUCAUUCGAUACUGAUCGACUUGGAGGCAGGAGAGGGAAGCAGAAUUCCCGGUGUAGUGGUGAAAUGCGUAGAUAUCGGGAGGAAUACCAGUGGCGAAGGCGGCUUCCUGGCCUGUUCUUGACGCUGAGGCGCGAAAGCUGGGGGAGCAACGGGGAU